AGGGGGAACUGACCUGCCUCACAUGACAACCACACCAGCUCCCACCUUCCUAAGCAGCGCAGAGCCAGGUACCAGUGCUGGGGGCAGGUAUUCGACAUCAACUCUCCCAGAAACAGGGGAAACCAACCAGACUCAUCCAGGAACAACUCCGACUUCGACCCACCCAGGCAGGGUGGGACCAGGGGAAACCAACCAGACUCAUCCAGGAACGACUCCGGCUUUGACCCACCCAGGCAGCGUGGGACCAGGUACCGGGGCUGGGGGCAGGAAAUCGCCAUCAACCACCGCAAAAACAGGUUUGUGCAGCCCAAGAAGCUGCCCCCGGGGUAACCAUGAAGUCAAGGGCCAGGUUGCUUGGGACAGGAGCAGAUCCCCAAGCAAAUGUCCCAUCUGGGCUGAGACUCCCGCCGCCCCCCCCGGACUCAUUUCAUAGGCUGGGGGGCGGUCACUGGACAGAUGCCAGAUUGGCUUGGCAGGGGCAGGGCCUGGGAGAUCUUCCCCCCAACGCACAGCCCCACCCCGUCGGCCCCACAGACCAGGGUGCUGUGCUGCCCACUGGCACCACAAAGCAACCCAUGUGGGGCACAGCUCAGUGCAUAUCCCCCCGGGAGAACGGGGACGGAGAGCUGGGGUAAGGGCCCUGUGUAUCCCCUCUGUCUGCCUGAGUCUGCAGACAGCCCAGGGGAAUGGCUCAGAAGCAGGGCUCCCCCUUCACAGGGAUGCUGCCCAGUGGGGCGUUAAUACUGGAAGCUACUGAGUUAACUCUGGAACCUACCAAUUCAACGUGACACCGUUAACUCUGGAACCAAAUGAUGGCCACCUGAUGGCACCACCGUUUUGUCUUCCGCUGCUGAUCGCUUCAAUGGGGUGUGGUUCUCCCAACGAUCUCAAAGUGCCCUGCCCAGCCAGAAGCCCCACCCCCACUGCCAUGCCCGCCCCCCGAGAUGAUUCCUACACAGACAUGAGCUGAAGCUGCUGGGAAAUUCCCAGGGCAAGGCAGGACCUGGGGGGGCUGGGCUGCGGGAUCUGGCCCCAGCUGCCUUCACAGGGUACAUGGGGCCUGAGGUACAUCCCCCCCCCCAGGAUAGGCCUCUGCCAUUGGCAGUGAACCCCCCUGACCACUAUUACCCAGAAUCCCCUCUGCUCCUGCCGCCCCCAGCCCCAUAGCAUGUUCUGCUCUGGGUCCCUAGGUCCUCGAGGGGGAGGGGCUGGGGCAGCAGGUAAUGAACCAGCCACUCACGGCUCUCACCGCCUGGUGCUGCUUCCCAGGGAUAUUGGAACUGUGGAGGAAAAAGUUUGCUAGGGCCUAAACUUUAGUUGGUUCAGACCUGAACAUUAGUUAAGUCUAUUGUAGGUGAAAGGUUUUUAGAGGCAGAAUAGAGGAAAAGUACAAAAGCAAAAUAUCUAUAAUUAUAAGGCCUAUGAUUCAUAGUGCUGCAUUGAUGGUUUUGGGAAGUCUGGAAAUCGCAGUAGGAUAGACUGUGAAAAACAGGAAAGCUUGCUAAGCUAUAUUCCUUUUAUGGAGAGUGUAUUCCAAAUAUGGCAAUAAUGCUGAUAAGAAAGUAUGUAUUAUAUAAUUGUGGUUUUAUGCUAUAUAAGCUGUGUAAAAUUCUGUAAUCAGGGGGAUUGCUAGUUUACUGGUACCCCCCAUGCAUGCAUGAAAAUAAAAAGGCCUCAGGCGAUUCUGAUCCAAACACAACGCGUGGUCAUUUUUCCACAACAGAACCAAGUGCAGCACCGGGUCUGACCCGCACCAUCAUCGCCGGGGUGAGCGCGGUGGCCGCCGGCCUCUUCCUCCUCCUCCUGAUCUUCC